GAUGAACGCUGGCGGCGUGCUUAACACAUGCAAGUCGAACGAAGCAUUUAAGACAGAUUACUUCGGUUUGAAGUCUUUUAUGACUGAGUGGCGUACGGGUGCGUAACGCUUGGGUAACCUGCCUCAUACAGGGGGAUAGCAGCUGGAAACGGCUGGUAAUACCGCAUAAGCUCACAGUACCACAUGGUACAGUGUGAAUAACUCCUGUGGUAUGAGAUGGAUCCGCGUCUGAUUAGCUUGGUGGCGGGGUAACGGACCACCCAGGCGAAGAGCAGUAGCCGAGCCGAGAGGGCGACCGGGAAUACUGGGAGAGAGACAAGGAGCAGACUCCUACGGGAGGAAGGAGUGGGGAAUAAUGAACGAUGGAGGAAAGUAUGAGGCAGCGAGGCCGUGUGAGUGAAGAAGAAGUGAGGUAUGUAAAGGAGAAUCAGAAGGGAAGAUAGUGACGGUAUCUGACUAAGAAGCGACGGCUAAAUACGUG
rnacentral:rRNA from 1 species